GAUGGUAGUGUAUUGGACUACCAUGGCGAUCACGGGUAACGGGGAAUUAGGGUUCGAUUCCGGAGAGGGAGCCUGAGAAAUGGCUACCACAUCUAAGGAAGGCAGCAGGCGCGUAAAUUACCCAAUCCUAAUUCAGGGAGGUAGUGACAAGAAAUAACAACUCGGACCUCACAUGAGGUUACGAGAUUGCAAUGAGAACAAUUUAAACCUCUUAUCGAGUACCAAUUGGAGGGCAAGUCUGGUGCCAGCAGCCGCGGUAAUA
rnacentral:rRNA from 1 species